CCUUGGCUUUGUAUCUUCUUACAAGGAAACACUACUUAGGCUUUUAAGAUUCAGUUGCGAUUUAAGUUUUUAUACUCAAUCAUACACAUGACAUAUAGUCAUAUUUG
rnacentral:sRNA from 1 species